rnacentral:rRNA from 1 species
ACGCUGGCGGCGUGCCUAAUACAUGCAAGUAGAACGCUGAAGAGAGGAGCUUGCUCUUCUUGGAUGAGUUGCGAACGGGUGAGUAACGCGUAGGUAACCUGCCUUGUAGCGGGGGAUAACUAUUGGAAACGAUAGCUAAUACCGCAUAACAAUGGAUGACACAUGUCAUUUAUUUGAAAGGGGCAAUUGCUCCACUACAAGAUGGACCUGCGUUGUAUUAGCUAGUAGGUGAGGUAACGGCUCACCUAGGCGACGAUACAUAGCCGACCUGAGAGGGUGAUCGGCCACACUGGGACUGAGACACGGCCCAGACUCCUACGGGAGGCAGCAGUAGGGAAUCUUCGGCAAUGGGGGCAACCCUGACCGAGCAACGCCGCGUGAGUGAAGAAGGUUUUCGGAUCGUAAAGCUCUGUUGUAAGUCAAGAACGAGUGUGAGAGUGGAAAGUUCACACUGUGACGGUAGCUUACCAGAAAGGGACGGCUAACUACGUGCCAGCAGCCGCGGUAAUACGUAGGUCCCGAGCGUUGUCCGGAUUUAUUGGGCGUAAAGCGAGCGCAGGCGGUUUGAUAAGUCUGAAGUUAAAGGCUGUGGCUCAACCAUAGUUCGCUUUGGAAACUGUCAAACUUGAGUGCAGAAGGGGAGAGUGGAAUUCCAUGUGUAGCGGUGAAAUGCGUAGAUAUAUGGAGGAACACCGGUGGCGAAAGCGGCUCUCUGGUCUGUAACUGACGCUGAGGCUCGAAAGCGUGGGGAGCGAACAGGAUUAGAUACCCUGGUAGUCCACGCCGUAAACGAUGAGUGCUAGGUGUUGGAUCCUUUCCGGGAUUCAGUGCCGCAGCUAACGCAUUAAGCACUCCGCCUGGGGAGUACGACCGCAAGGUUGAAACUCAAAGGAAUUGACGGGGGCCCGCA